AUGGAGGGAUCGCUUCCUGCCUCUUCCUUUCACCCCCCCGCCGCCGCCGCCGCCGCCACCGCCACCCCCUCUAGCUAUCCCGCCUGGGUUCUCCUCGACAGAAAGGCCUACUUCGCCGAUCUCCAUAACGCCACCACCGCUGAAGCCAAAUCAAGCACCGGUCGCAUCAUAAAGGUCACCUUCUACCUAGCGGAUCCGCCGGCCGUCUCCCACUUUUGCGUCCAUGGCCCUGAUGUCGACCCUGGGCACUUUGCUGUUGAGCCCCGGGUUCUAUUCUCGGAGAAGGACCUCGUCCUCCUAUGCUUCGCCUUCACCAGCGGCUCCCGAAGUUCUGUCCAGGACUGUAAUCUCGUCGAGUACUUCAUCUACAAGGCCGGCCGAUGCAAUCCGUCCCUCAGAUCGAUCCCGGCUACUCCUCCAGGUACCAGGAAUACACUGUAUGUUGGCGUCGUGCCGUGUGACGAGGGACAAUUCUUCCUCGCCGAUCUCGCUGCCACAGCUACCCUUGGAUACUAUGACAUCUGUAUCUUUUCAUCCAAGACGGGCAAGUGGGUUACCAGGACAUUGCAGUUGGAGGCAUCUACUACUGAACUCAGGGUAGAGGACAUGUUCAUUGUACCUCACAAGGUGAUCACUCUUGGUGCUGGCGUGAUAGGAUGGGUCGACCUCUGGCGUGGUAUUAUCGCUUGCAACAUUCUUGAGGAGGACCCCUUCAUCUUUUUCAUUCCACUUCCCAAGCCUGAAUUCAACUUGCCUCGGGAGGGUGACCCAAAGCCGGUUCGGGACAUUGCCUGCUACAAUGGUGUUAUCAAGUUUGUGGAGAUGGAUCAUCUUUACAGACGUGAGGUUGUUAGUAUUAGUAACCGUAAUAAGAGGUUUAAGAUGACGAAGGAUUUGGAUAGUGUAGACAAGAUAUACGACCUGGAUAUCCUCCUUCGCCCGCAUGAGGACUUCCUAGAAGCGCCCAAAGAGCAAAUCAUUUACAUCCCUGAUGGUUGGAAGAUUCGGACAUGUUAUAGGCAUACUUCUUGGGACCAUUGGCGCAAGGGGCACAUUAUUCAUGUUGAUGACAUCUUGGCCAACAACCCAAAUCAUUCUGUCUUGUUGCCAAAGUUUUGGGAUGGUUGUGGAAAAUCACCAUUAAGGAACCUGACCACAGCCCACCCGACCCUCAGCCCAAAUGGUGGUGAUCUUCUCUACCUGAUGUCUUAUGAUCAGACUGCCUGGAUGGUUGGUGUUGACCUUGGAAAGAAGGCAGUUGUAAUGCUUGAACCAUAUCAUGAGAGAGACGGUUAUUUCAAACCGGACUUUCUACCAUUUGCAUUCUCUGAAUUUCUGAAUGCAACUUCAAGGUCGUGUGCAGGGGAAGCUGCCUUUGAACCAAAUGAGGCUCAGAACAAUCACCUUUUAUCAGGCUCUAGCGGAUAUGCUGAAUGCAAAGCUCCAGGCUUCCUAUGCAGCAACAGCCAGAGUCAACCCCAGUUGCUGUCCAAUCAGCCACAACCCCUGCAUCUGAAUUUGACCUCGUCUGUAUCAGUGAACUCCCAGUUGACGUACCCAGUGCUGAAUGCUGAUGACCACGGCCAGCUGUGCUUCGCAAAGUCAGUGGCUCGCCAUUGGAUGAUGGAGCUGGCAGACUCGUCCUUGACCCCACCGACGCCUCAGAUAGCAUUGCAGGAAGUCCAGCCCUGCAAUGAGCCUGCUAAUGUAACGUUGAUGCCUCUUGGGAAGCCAGCGCACCCAGCUGUCCAGGCCUACUGUGGGUCUUGCAGUACCUCGACGAUGCCUGGGAUGCCAGCACCCCUAGCCCUCCAGCCUAACUGUUGGACCUCUAGUGUCAUCUCACCUCCACAAAUGCCAGGGCCGUCCAGCAAGCAACUGGAUGUGAAUGCCUCAUUGCCGUUGGUGCACAUCAACUCCAUUUUGGGCUCCCCCAAGUCGCUGAUAAGGUCAACAUCGAUUUAG
rnacentral:rRNA from 1 species